CCUACGGGUGGCAGCAGUGGGGAAUAUUGCACAAUGGGGGAAACCCUGAUGCAGCGACGCCGCGUGAGUGAAGAAGUAAUUCGUUAUGUAAAGCUCUAUCAGAAGGGAAGAAAAUGACGGUACCUGAGUAAGAAGCCCCGGCUAACUACGUGCCAGCAGCCGCGGUAAUAAGUAGGGGGCAAGCGUUAUCCGGAUUUACUGGGUGUAAAGGGAGCGUAGACGGCAGUGUAAGUCUGGAGUGAAAGGCGGGGGCUCAACCCCCGGACUGCUCUGGAAACUGUACGGCUGGAGUGCAGGAGAGGUAAGUGGAAUUCCUAGUGUAGCGGUGAAAUGCGUAGAUAUUGGGAGGAACACCAGUGGCGAAGGCGGCUUACUGGACUGUAACUGACGUUGAGGCUCGAAAGCGUGGGGAGCAAACAGGAUUAGAUACCCGGGUAGUC
rnacentral:rRNA from 1 species